rnacentral:rRNA from 1 species
AAUCUAUCGUGUCCACACCGCGAAACUACUUAUGCCCUUCUGGAGUAGGCAGACUUUACGGUUUGCCCUUCAGUUGCGCAGGUCAGGGGCUGGCUCCUUUUGGUGUCAGUUGACUUGACUGGGCGGGUCCAAUAUCAAUCGGAUUCACCGCGCCUUUCAGGCUCGGGGUUCUGCCGGUUGUGAGGGGUGGCGGUUAACUCACUUUAAGCAAUCAAUUCUGAAGACAGUUCUAUUGGCUGGCUUUGCUGGCUAUAGGCUGAAUAACUAAAGACAACUCUCAACAACGGAUAUCUUGGCUCCCGUAACGAUGAAGAACGCAGCGAAAUGCGAUACGUAGUGUGAAUUGCAGAAUUCCGUGAACCAUCGAAUCUUUGAACGCAAAUUGCGCUCGAGGCCUCGGCCAAGAGCAUGUCUGCCUCAGCGUCGGCUACUACCCUCAACCAAGUUUCCUAUUAUCAUAGGGGAUGCCGGUUGGAUCUGGCCGUCCGGUUUGCCUUUCAGGUUGCCGGUCAGCUGAAAUACAUUCACGCUCUGGGAGCUGCUUUCCUUUCGAGGGGAGGCGAGUUCCGAUUUGGUAGGUGACCUUUGCCGGUUACAUGCCUUCGUUGCCCGCUAAGCUUCCCAGUAUGCGUUGUGCAGGACGCCUUUUGGCUUUCGACCUGAGGUCAGGCAAGAACACCCGCUGAACUUAAGCAUAUCAAUAAGCGGAGGAAAAGAAACUAACUAGGAUUCCCUUAG